UGGGGAAUAUUGCACAAUGGGCGAAAGCCUGAUGCAGCAACGCCGCGUGAGUGAUGAAGGUCUUCGGAUUGUAAAGCUCUGUCUUUUGGGACGAUAAUGACGGUACCAAAGGAGGAAGCCACGGCUAACUACGUGCCAGCAGCCGCGGUAAUACGUAGGUGGCGAGCGUUGUCCGGAUUUACUGGGCGUAAAGGGUGCGUAGGCGGAUGUUUAAGUGAGAUGUGAAAUACCCCGGG
rnacentral:rRNA from 1 species